UUUUGCAGCAUCAGAUGCAUAGAAGUUUGCAGGUACUAAUGGAAAACUAUACCAUAUGCUACUUUUGUGGUAAUGAACUCGGCCCUGUGGGAGAUCACUGAUCCUAUGCUGGCACCUGAGAACAUGUCAGAAUUCAUCCAGAACCCUCUCUCUGCAAAAUCACUGCGAAGAUUCAAAGGGAGCUUUCAGCAGCAGGCCCCAGUAAGCUCAGUCACAAACCUGCUUUUAAAUGCUACUCAUCAAAACAAGUAAGAAGAAACAACAUGUAUGAUACAGGAGCAGAGCUGACAUUGAAUUAAACAGAUUCUGAGCUUCCCCAGGAGAACUCUGAAGCACUUACAGAAGAAAAAUCAGCCUGCACUACUUCUACACAGGAAGAAGAUUCAGAGAGGCACAGAAAUGUUUGCUCCCUCAGUAAAACUGUGUCAUCACACUUUUCCUAAUCUUAUUAGGAUGAGGACAUGACUGUGGGAUGCCAGACAGUAUUUCCACUCUUAGCAAGAAGCAAAGGACAGUAAUGUGCCCAGCUCUGUGGAGUCUGU